rnacentral:ribozyme from 1 species
GUUAUUAUAGGUUCUGUAAAAGGGUUGGAUCCGACGCCUUUUGAAGGCUACUAUAGGCUCUCCUUCUCAACUCCUACUCAAUACGUCCACG